CAUGCAAGUCGAACGGAGAUAUUAAAAGUGAAGAUAGGAGCUUGCUCUUAAUGGAAUGAUUAAUAUCUUAGUGGCGGACGGGUGAGUAACGCGUGGAUAACCUGCCUUAUACUGGGGGAUAACACUUAGAAAUAGGUGCUAAUACCGCAUAAGCGCACAGCUUUGCAUGAAGAUGUGUGAAAAACUCCGGUGGUAUAAGAUGGAUCCGCGUCUGAUUAGCUAGUUGGUGGGGUAACGGCCCACCAAGGCGACGAUCAGUAGCCGGCCUGAGAGGGUGAACGGCCACAUUGGGACUGAGACACGGCCCAAACUCCUACGGGAGGCAGCAGUGGGGAAUAUUGCACAAUGGGGGAAACCCUGAUGCAGCGACGCCGCGUGAGUGAAGAAGUAUUUCGGUACGUAAAGCUCUAUCAGCAAGGAAGAAAAUGACGGUACUUGACUAAGAAGCCCCGGCUAACUACGUGCCAGCAGCCGCGGUAAUACGUAGGGGGCAAGCGUUAUCCGGAUUUACUGGGUGUAAAGGGAGC
rnacentral:rRNA from 1 species